UUGUGGUUUUGUGAAACGAAAUCCAGCAUGUCUAUCUUGUUUGCUGUGUCAUACAACAUCGUUGUGUCAAUAAGAAGAAGAAGAAGAAGAAGAAGAAGAAGAAGAAGAAGAAGAAGAAGAAGAAGGGUGGCCUUAAGUAGGAAACCAGUUGAUGUUGGCACAUAUCAUCAGGAGCAGCAGCAAACGCAGCAGCGCCCCUAGCGGCUGCCUAUGGCACUGGGGCCAAAGGGUCCCAAUGGAGGCUGGCGUGGCCCUGCCCCUUUCUCUCCCUCCCAAAUUCUGCCCAGCCAGACGGAUUAUCCUGCAGCCAAAUCCUAUUACUGCGCGUCAUCACCUGCUCCCUUUAAGUGGCUUGUUGCCUCCAAACCUCCGGGCAAGGCAAUUAGGAGGAAAGGCGAGGAAGAGGAAGGAGUUAUCUGCAUGCCCUUUAAAGGGAAAGGCGCCCGUGGAGGAGAAGCCCAGACAGAGUGGGGAUAAUGACAAUUCGCUCCGGUGGCGAAGUGUGUUAAAGCACUGAGCUGCUGAACUUGCAGACCGAAAGAUCCCAGGUUCAAAUCCCGGGAGCGGAGUGAGCGCCCGCUGUUGCUCCAGCUUCUGCCAACCUAGCAGUUCGAAAACAUGCAAAUGUGAGUAGAUCAAUAGAUACUGCUCCGGCAGGAAGGUAACAGCGCUCCAUGCAGUCAUGCCGGCCACAUGACCUUGGAGGUGUCUACGGACAACGCCGGCUCUUCGCCUUAGAAAUGGAGAUGAGCACCAACCCCCAGAGUCAGACAUGACUGGACUUAACGUCAGGGGAAACCUUUAUACCCUUUACCUUUAAUGACAAUGAUGGUGAUGAUUUCCACUGAAAUUCCUUCCACGUAUUUGUGGGAUUUUCUGACAGAGAUACCCAAAUAAUCUGGUUGGCCUUCCAUAAUAUGUACCAUGACUUGGAGAUAAUCUGUGACUCUGUUUCAGCAGUAUAAAGCCUUGGGCCAGUUCUUUCUCAGAAGACAAUUUCUCAAGCUAGAUAAUGGGUUCUAGCGACUCAUUAACCAGAGUAGCAGAGUUCAUUCUGUUCGCUACCACAACUUCUCAGGAAUUCCUUAGAAAAUCAAGAGUAACCUUGCACCAGCAGAUAAAAGUAUUUGUCCAUCUAGCUCAUUGUUUAUUGAUGUUGGCCAUUCUUGUAGAAAUCAAGGACCUUACUGACCUUGUUUUUUCCUGUGUUUAGGAAGAAGAUGGUGGAAUGUGGCAAGAAAAGAAGAUAAUAUUUCAACUAACCAAAUCUAACUAAAUUUGUGAACUUCCCUAGCUGGAAUACCGCUAUCUGAUUACCCAGUAUCGAAUACACCUAUUCUAUAUCUCUUCUAAUUCCUCUUGUGCUGAAUGGUGAACAGUAAAGGAGGCUGUUAAAAUAUAGAAAUCUUAAGGUUUUUUACUACCCGAGACCUUAAGUAGUACAGGAUGAUUACUAAGCCAUAUUUGAAUUAAAACCAGAUAGUGAGUGUCUAGAUACAGAUACAGGAAUAAUCUAGAUUCACAUUUAAUACUGAUAGUGGAAAUGUAGAACUUGAAGGGGGAGUAGAUGCUAUCUUACGUUCUAGGUGUUUCAUUAAUGUAAUCUUUGUCAGGUCACAUGAAAUUAGGGUUUUUUUAUAGGAGAUCUGAGUACUUGAAUAUUUAUGCUCUAGUUUUAGAAAUAACCAGGAGAAGCCAAAAAUCCAGAAACUGAUAUGUGUGUUUAAUUGGGAUAAGACUAAGAUUUGAGAGCACCAGAUUAACAAAUCAAAGUGAAUUUAGUUUGGAGUGAUCCAGGUAUUUAUAUAUAAAAAUAAUGCUAUACAUUAGGAUAUAAAGAGGGGAUCAGAAGCCUGUUAUUAGUCAGUGAGACUGAGAAUCUUGAGAAUUCCCACAGAUCCAGAAAAUGAAAUCCAGAAAUGUUUCAUUUGACUAGCCAAGUUACAGAUGAAUAUGCUUUGUGCUUGAAGAGUUUGUGGAUCUUGUAGUAGUUUAUAAUUGUCCAGAACUAGAUCAGAACAUUUGAAACUGGUGUAAAGCUAAGAAUACAAGAUCCCCCUUUCUGGAGUUUGAGGGAAAUUCUGAAUAUAAGAUUCCCAUUUCUGAGAUUGGAGAUAAACUGAAAAUACAAGAUUCCCAUUUCUGAGAUUGGACAUAAACUGAGAAUACAGGAUUCCCUUUUCUGAGACUGGAUAUAAACAGAGAAUAUAAGAUUCUGCUUUCUGGCAUUGGAGAGAAACUGAGAAUACAAGACUCACCUUUCUGAGACUGGACAUAAACUGAGAAUAUAAGUUUCUGCUUUCCAACAGUGGAGAGAAACUGAGAAUGUAAGACUUGCCUUCCUGAGAUUGGAGAAAAUUGAGAAUCCAGGAUUCAGAUUUCUGAAACGGGACGUAAACUGAGAAUAUCAGA
ensembl:lncRNA